rnacentral:lncRNA from 13 species
CUUACAGCUACCAGCCUUUCCUAUGUGCUCCUGGCAAGAACCAUCUGAGGGAGAUCUUGGUAGUGAUUCUUGAGGAAACAAUGCACUAAGGUGGCCAGUGCUUAUGGACAGUUACACCAGGCAGGCAACAGUGGCCAUCCACUUCAUGCCAAAAACAAGAAUUCACCCUGACCUCCUAGCUGCUCAAGUCACACACAGAAAAAGGAGGAGGACUCAAGAUGGCGCUGUGAGAACAACCCAGGAUUGGAGCUCUCGUUGAAUCCGCAAAGAGGGACAUGGAUGAAUCUGGAGAACGUCAUCCUCAGCAAACUGACACAAGAACAGAAAAUGAAACACCGCAUAUUCUCACUCAUAGGUGGGUGAUGAAAAAUGAGAACACAUGGACACAGAAAGGGGACUACUAAACACUGGGGUCUAUUGGGGGAAAAGGGGGAGGGCCAGUGGGAGGGGGAGGUGGGGAGGGAUAGCCUGGGGAGAAAUGCCAAAUGUGGG